ACCUCGAGGCAGCUCGUCCGCCUGUGAGGCAGGAUUUCCGAGGAGCCCACUAGGUGGUGCGUGAGCUGCGGCGAUGGUGACCAGCUGUGCUGGACCAGUCACCGCCCGCCUCCCAGGACCCCCCUCAGGCCAGAGGCCCCCAGCUCACAAGCCGGCCCUGAAUCAUCCCUGUUCCUGGGCCCGUCUCCACGUUCUUCCUCUGGGAAAGCAGGGCCCAGGCUUCUGCUCCCUCUUCAAUACAGCACACAUGAACACUUUGGGAGUGUCGCCUUAAAAAUAAAAAACACAACGUGAGAGUUGAGAGUUAAGUUUUACUUGGGACAGAAUGAGGACUAGAACCUGGGUGGCAGCAUUCAGAGAGACCCGAGAAACUACUCCAAAAAACUGGGACCUCAGUGAGUCCGGACACCAGGCCAAGUGUGGAAAAGAAAGGAAGAAGCAAGAGAGGAGGCAUCCGUUGAUGAACUUCAGAUGCCAAGAUAAAGGAGACUUGCUUUUCGACGAGAUGACACUGGCCCUGCUGGUCGGGCUUCCGGGGAGAGGAGGUCUGAACUGCUUGGCUGCUGUCUACUGACUGAUAAUGGGAUGAAAACAACACACAUCAAACAGUGAGCGGGGCUGUUAACAAGGUAGCCCUUCCUGGGAUCCUGGCGCCUUCAUCCAGUCAGGCCGGUGCCUUGAGCACCCACCCAAAAGUGGCGAGGGGAGUUCCUUGGGACCCUUCAAGUCCUAGCGUGUGGGGGAGAGCCCCCGGCUCCGGGAACGGCAAGCGGCAGGUAAGGUCUUCCUGGAAGGCGCCGUCCCCCUCUCCGGGCUGGCUCUGCAGCCUUUCCCUCGGAGUCACAGUCUAGGAAGCAGGCUCCUCGCUAAGUAUUUGGCAUUUGAUCCUCAGAACGGUCAUCUUGCCGGAACUCGGCCUCUGUUCGCUGGUGCUCAAUAGAAACGCGGAGACGGAGCUUUGGAUGAAGUAGAGAAGGCAGGCCUGAUUGCUUUGCCAGGAAGGGGGGGCCACAGCGGGCCAGGGCCCUCGGAACUUUUGGGGGGGCGGUGAGGAGUCUCACAGUGUCAAGGAGCAGGGCGUGGCCAGCUCGUGGGCGUUCUUCUGAUGGGUGGGUGGUGAGGUCACGGGGAGUCCGCGCCGUCACCCCUCUGGUUCCAGUUGGUCUGGGGUCUCCGUGCUUGUGGGCAGCACACGGUUGGCUUCCUCCCCGUGGUGGGGGUGAACCGCUCCGAGGACAUGGCUCGGAAUAGUAUCUCUGGUCUUUGAGAAAGAAUGUAAGGUCCUUGACUUUGUUGAGUGGCUAAAGUAUUAUUAUUUUGUCUUGCUGGACUGUUUUUCCUUUCGCUUUGCAUUUUCUCAGGUCUCUGAUUAAGUUUGAUUUUUUUGGACUAAAGUUUUUCUACAGACCAAAGGCAGGCAGAGGACCUGGGGGCGGGGGCGGGAUCUGUUCUGGAAGGCCCCAUAGCGUCCGGCUCGGUUACCCUAAAGAGAGGUAUUUUUUCCCCAUUUGACAGUUGGGAGAAGGGAACCCCAACAGCAAAAAAGUCUCAGGAGGACUCAGGCCUCCUGAAACGGCAUGGCCCCUGCUGCCCCUGUGGCUUUUCUGAAGAUGCAGCCCAGUUGAGUCUGAUUUGCUGAUUAUUGCAGACCUCUGGGCAUGAAGCUCUGAAAUCGAGAAGCGGGUGUGGCUGGUGAUGAACAGGUAAACCGCACAGUCAGCUCAGCGCAUGGAGAGUCCAGUGUCUGUUGUUGUUGCUGUCAUCCUCUGGGGAAGCCAGUUUUUAGUGCUCAAAGUUUAGUAAAACAAUUUCCUACACUCGUUUAAUCAUUUCCACUUUACAAACAAACUGAGGUUUCAGCAUACCAGGGAACUUGUCCUGGCUGAUUCUGCAGGUUACGGGGAGCCAGGACUUCUGACCCAAGUCUGGAGGGAUGCUUCUCUGGCUUGGAGGAUCAAUGAAAAAUCAAAUCUGAGUUGUUCCACUGAGGUGAUGGAGUGUGCGAUUACUACAGCCUCUUAGAUAUUUAAAAUCGUAUGUUGCAAAAGACCAGUCCUACCCAUUUGCUGGGUGAGCGGGUGUUGGUACCACAAGCCAUCCUCAUACUUAAGCACAGUGGAUUGGAACGUACGGCAAAUAAACAGCGUUUUUUCCUGGCUCAGUGAGGGUAACGGCUGCUUUUGAAGAAUUAUUGCAGGUGUUUCUAGGCGAUGAAUAAAGUUACUGAGGUCGUGCAGGUGGAGCAUCUAGGCAUGGAAUUUAGAAAUUUCAAGAACUCGAAAAUUUUCCUUCCACCCCCUCCAGCUCACACAGUGAACGUGAUUAAGCGCUUCACGGGGUGGGACCCUGCGGAGGCCACCGAGGUGGGCGACACGGCUCCCCUCCCAGACCCCAUGUGGUCGGGAAACUGCACUGAAGGGCUCUGGCCGCACUGCAGAGGGUCUCACGGUGUCCAGCGGGCCAGCUCCCAGGGGACCUAACGGAAAGAAGAAUGGACGGAUGAAAAUCCGCAAGUCCUCAGGCCGUCCUCUCCCCACAGCCCGUCUGGAGGCACCCCAGAGGCCGACUGACUCUUUGCCUCUAAAUAUUUCAUCUGUGUGGCAACGGGACAGACUCAGGUGAGAAAACUGGAGUCAGUGUCACAGGGCCAACUUGGGCAGCCCUUUGGCGAGGCCACCUGCUUGAGCAGCUGGACGAUGGUAGUUAGGGAGGUCAGACGCCUCAUCUAAGCCCUGGCUUGGCCGCUUAUGGUCUGCCCUCCGUUGUGUUGCUUUAUCAACCUGGACCUCAGUUCGCUCAUCUUUAAAAUGGGGAUACAGGAGUCCCUGGUGGCUUAGUGGUGCAUGGCUUGACUUUUGUCACUGCUGUGGCUCUGGUUGCAUCCCUGGCUGUGGAGUUUCUGCAUGCCACAGGCCCAGCCACAUACAUUUAAAAAAUAAAUAAAAUUGGGAUAUGAACAGCCCGUAGCUCAAAGGAACUGAAAAUCAAAUAGCGAGCCAAGUGUGGCAGAAUUCCACUUUCCUUGUCCACAUGAUGCAUAGAUAAUAGUUGUCUUAUUUUCUAUCAUAGGAUGGUGCUGAGGGGCCAGGAAAAAAAAAAAAA
rnacentral:lncRNA from 9 species